GCAGAACAGCUGGCGGCGUGCUUAACACAUGNCAAGUCGAACGGAAAGGCCCUGCUUUUGUGGGGUGCUCGAGUGGCGAACGGGUGAGUAACACGUGAGUAACCUGCCCUUGACUUUGGGAUAACUUCAGGAAACUGGGGCUAAUACCGGAUAGGAGCUCCUGCUGCAUGGUGGGGGUUGGAAAGUUUCGGCGGUUGGGGAUGGACUCGCGGCUUAUCAGCUUGUUGGUGGGGUAGUGGCUUACCAAGGCUUUGACGGGUAGCCGGCCUGAGAGGGUGACCGGCCACAUUGGGACUGAGAUACGGCCCAGACUCCUACGGGAGGCAGCAGUGGGGAAUAUUGCACAAUGGGCGGAAGCCUGAUGCAGCAACGCCGCGUGCGGGAUGACGGCCUUCGGGUUGUAAACCGCUUUCGCCUGUGACGAAGCGUGAGUGACGGUAAUGGGUAAAGAAGCACCGGCUAACUACGUGCCAGCAGCCGCGGUGAUACGUAGGGUGCGAGCGUUGUCCGGAUUUAUUGGGCGUAAAGGGCUCGUAGGUGGUUGAUCGCGUCGGAAGUGUAAUCUUGGGGCUUAACCCUGAGCGUGCUUUCGAUACGGGUUGACUUGAGGAAGGUAGGGGAGAAUGGAAUUCCUGGUGGAGCGGUGGAAUGCGCAGAUAUCAGGAGGAACACCAGUGGCGAAGGCGGUUCUCUGGGCCUUUCCUGACGCUGAGGAGCGAAAGCGUGGGGAGCGAACAGGCUUAAAUACCCUGGUAGUCCACGCUGUAAACGGUGGGUACUAGGUGUGGGGUCCAUUCCAC
rnacentral:rRNA from 1 species